CUGGAGUUACUAGUAAUCGCAGAUCAGAAUGCUGCGGUGAAUGCGUUCCCGGGUCUUGUACACACCGCCCGUCACACCACGGGAGUUGGAGACGCCCGAAGCCGAUUAUCUAACCUUUUGGAAGAAGUCGGCGAAGGUGGAAUCAAUAACUGGGGUGAAGUCGUAACAAGGUAGCCGUAUCGGAAGGUUCGGCUGGAUCACCUCCUUUCUAAGGAGA
rnacentral:rRNA from 1 species